CCGGGACCCCCACCGCCGAGAUGAGCUUUAGCCGUCUGUAUCGCCUGCUGAAGCCAGCGCUACUUUGCGGGGCUCUGGCUGCGCCGGGCCUGGCUAGCACCAUGUGCGUGUCCCGCGACGACUGGCGCUGUGCUCGCUCCAUGCACGAAUUCUCAGCCAAGGACAUCGACGGGCGCAUGGUUAACCUGGACAAGUACCGGGGCCACGUGUGCAUCGUCACCAAUGUGGCCUCGCAAUGAGGCAAGACUGAAGUAAACUACACUCAGCUGGUCGACCUGCACGCCCGAUACGCCGAGUGUGGUUUACGGAUCCUGGCCUUCCCUUGCAACCAGUUUGGGAGGCAGGAGCCAGGGAGUAAUGCGCAGAUCAAAGAGUUCGCCGCUGGCUAUAACGUCAAAUUCGAUAUGUUCAGCAAGAUCUGUGUAAAUGGGGACGAUGCCCACCCUCUGUGGAAAUGGAUGCAAGUCCAGCCCAAGGGGAGGGGCAUGCUGGGAAACGCCAUCAAAUGGAACGUCACCAAGUUCCUCAUUGACAAGAAUGGCUGUGUGGUGAAGCGGUAUGGUCCCAUGGAAGAGCCCCUGGUGAUAGAGAAGGACCUGCCAUGCUACCUCUAGCUCCACAAGGUGCUGCCCCUACCCAAACCUGCUGCCUGUGUUCCGAGGAGCCUUCCCCCGGUGCCUAUGACGGUCUGUCUGAAAACCAGCCCCUGGUGGGGCAGACCCGAAAACCUGGCGUGCACUCCUGCCGGAGGAAGGUCCCUUGGCCUGGCUGUGGCUUGGCAACCCCACCCCUGGCUGCCUUGUGGGAAUAAAAUGUACAACACAACACAAAAAAAAAAAACAAAAACAAGAAA